UCCUCUCAUCCAUGCACACACAAAAAUAUUUACUUGAAAACCUACCUCUACACCAAAAGAAUACAAUAGAAGCACCAUAACGGGCAUACAGAAUAUCAUACACACUAUCAGACCAAAGCUUAGAAUAGUCUGUCGGGAGCCUUCGUCUCCAUUUUGCAAGAAGAGUAGGGUUUACGUGUAACGCCCGGAAAAAUAAUUAUUUUCUUAAUUUAGUCAUUUGUGAUGUUUAUUGAAAUUUUUCGCUUUUGGGACGAUUUAGUCGGUAUUAGUUCGGGAUGGCGGAUCAAUAUUUAAUCGAAAAUUUUAAUAUUUUUAGUAUUAGAAAUAUUAAUGAGUUAAUAUUUAGCGUUUAGGGAAUUUUCCGAGUAAUUAAGAUUUGACCGGAAAUAUGAGACAUUGAGUUAUUAGAGGAUUUUAAGAGUAUUUAUUUUACUAUUUUAUUUGACUUUAUUUAGUGUGUUAAUUAAUUAAUUGAUUGUUAGAUAGUAUAAUAAUUGAUUAUAUUAAUUAACUUGGUGUGUAUAUUUGUGUAUAUUUAAUUAUUGGUGUUAUUUAAUUUAGUAACUAAAAUAGAAAUAAUAAAUAGAAUAUAUUAUAUUAGGCUUAUUUAUUGAUGUUAGAAGUAAAUAGGGGGUGUUAUAUUUAGGCCCAUUAGGUAUACUUGGUAAGGGUUAGAAGUGGGGAAGUGUCAUAAUUCUUUUUCAUUUUCUCACGGAUAACAAUAGAGAGAGAGGCAGAGAAAGAAGAAGGAAAAAGAGGAAAAGAAAUGGGAGAACAACAAAGAGGAAUUAGGGUUUGGAGAAGAAAUUGAAGAGGUUUUGAUGAUUAGUAAAUGGCGUGUGAUCUAGUCGGAGUUUCGUCCGAGUUGCUUGGUAAUUAAGUAGCGAGUCAAUGCUCUGGUCAUGUAACACUGGGUAGCUUAGAUGUCGAACUCAUGUUCUAUUUGCUUAUGUAUUUUGUUAUAACUUGUGAACCUGUUUAAUUGGUUACUCUUGUUGUUGAGAGGCUUUAGGCCAAAUAUUAUGAUCAUGGUAUGGGACAUGUAUCAUUUGUAUGAAACACAUGAGUAUUACUUCCACUGUUAAUGCAUAUUCUGGAUGAAUUAUGAUUA